AGAAAGAAAAAUAUUACAACAAAAUCAAAUUUCUUUUAGAGAAAGAGGGAUGUGACACGUGACAUGAAAGAUCUAUCUCCAAGAGAAAAUAGAAGAAGCAACGGUUUCACGUGUAAGAGAGAGAGAGAGAAGAGAGACGGCGGACGAACGAAGGGUUUGUCGAGAGGAGAUGCUAACAGGAGUAACGCGUUUACACCGCGACGCGCUUUUCACGGGGGUGUUUCAACGACAGGGAAGGCCGUGCUCUUUCUCUCUCUUGGCCGACACCCUUGGCACAACACGUUUGCAAGAACGGAGGGUGUAAACUGAGAAAAGAGAAAGAGAAGUGAGUGCGAAAGAGAGAGAGAGAGAAAGGGACAGGUCUACCAUUCCAACCUCAAAAAGCACAUAACGCUUUGGAGCGUGUCAGGAGGACGCACGUUUAGAACGAAAGCUGUGCAACGAUGCCCACGAUUAGAAACCACAACCGAUUCUCUAUCUCCAAAUUUUUCAUACGUCCUCGUCGAGCUUCCUUCGUCGAACUUUUACACGUCUAAUUAUUACGUAACUUGAUUAUCCAGCAAAACUCGAACUCGGAUCCGAGAUUUUUCCUCGUUGAAAGGAUAAGAAAAUAAAGGGAAGGAGGAAAGAGAAAAAUGAGGAUGAGAUAUAUAGGAAAUCGUAGCACCGACAACGAGGAAAAACAAUUUUACUCCUCCGAGCUAUUUCCUUUCUUCGAGAUGAGUUCCAGGAUGAGAAUGAACAACCGAUUGAAAAACCGCGAAAACGAACAACGAAAGGAGCCCGACUGGAGUUCGUCGAUCUGAAAUUUUCUUCGUGCAAGAGUAGGACGACGAUAUCGAAGAAAGACAGACAGAUGGAUGGAGAGAGACAGAGAGAGAGAGAGAGAGAGAGAGAGAGAGAACUAUACAAGUCGUUGAGUAAGAAGAUAAUCCACAAGUGGACUCACCCUUCCACAGCGGGACGUCGAUGUUAUUGUCUGAUUCUUAGAAUACCAACAACAACAAAAAAAAAAAGAAAGAAAGAAAGAAAAGGAAAGAAACUACUUUUGAAUAAGCAUCGAUCCUGACUGACCCGAGAAUAUGAAAGAAAAUGUUAAACAUAUGACUAGUUUUGUACUCAAGUUCUUUCGUGUAAAAAUAUCCAAAAUGAAAAAGGAGAAAUAUACAUGGCCUAUAUCUUAGAAUACAUACCUAGCGAUCAAACAUCGUGAUAUGCAAAUGGAUCGAACGCAAAAUCGAAGAUACCUACCUAUGUUGUACGUACAAAGAGAGAGAGAGAGAGAGAGAGAGAGAUAGAAAACGUCAUAUAUAUAUAUAUAUAUAUAAAUGUAUAUGUGUAUAUGUAAAUGUCGAAUAUGAGAACGUACACGCUCUGGGCGUUCACGGAUCGUCGAGGCGAAUUAUUCCGCCUGUACGGCCAUUCGUUGUAAUACAGCUUGCGUAUUAUAUUCGCGCUCGGUUCGUCGUAACGCCAUUAAUGGGUUCUGUAAGGUCUUCUUCCCGCCACCAGACUACCACCAGCACCAACACCAACACUAGCACCAACACCAGCACCAAUAUCGUCACUACUACUACUACUAUUACUACUACUAUCUACUAUCCUUCACCCUUCUCGCUUUUCCUCCCUUUACCCAGAACCGUGAAAUCGAUCGACUAGCAGAACCUAAUGGCGCCAUCCCGUAUAGCGAAACGCGGAAAAUAGCGGAGGCGUAAGAGAGGGGGAUCGGAGAAGAGAGAAGAGGGAGAGGGGUAGAAAGAGAGAUACGAUGAAAAUUCGACGAAACUUCUCUUGAAACUGCAUACUUUUACGAUUCCUGUCUUUCUUCCUAUCUCAAAACAAUCGAUAAGAUAUAAAAAUGAAAGAUUUAUUUAGAAUGGAUUUAAAACGAAUAUAUUUGUGAUCAAUGUAUUUUUAUCAAGACUAUUAUCAUUUGCCAAUUGGUUUAGCAAAUAACUCGAACGAAUAAAUAAAUAUAUAUAUAUAUAUGUAUAUAUGUAUAUAUAUAGAUAAUAUUUAUUAAUGUUCGAGUUAAAGAUAACUUAAAUUGAAGAGGGAAGAAAGAGUGUAAAAAUAAUAUUGAACUGGCUUGGCCGUUUGGAAGGAAAAACGAGGAAGAAACGAGUAAAGAAAGAGAGAAAAAAAAAAGAGAAAAAAGGGACAAUCAAGAAAGCAAGAAGGCAAAGAGACGAUUCUCGUUUCACGAGAGUUUGCUAAUUACAUCGAUUCGAAAUGCUCGCGAUUUGGUGGACGAGAACGAGGAGAAAAGUAAAGUGCAACUAUUGCAUUAAAUUUAACGAUCGCUUAAGUUUAGUUCGAAUCGUAAAGUGUAGAUACGUGGUACGUGUAUUCGCAUUUAAACACUAACCACAAAGUCAAAUAUUUCGGUUCGUAACUUGGACCACUUGUCGUCUCUCGAUCGAACGUGACGAGUAAACGCAACGAAACGAAACGAAACGAAACGAAGCCAAACGAAACGAAACGAAACGAAACGAAA